rnacentral:lncRNA from 1 species
AUGGAAAUAAUAAAGAAACAGGAGAAUAUAGGUUUCUUGCGACCCUGAAAUUACAAUACACAUUACAGGACUGUUUCACACGCACUGCUAGCAGAGAAAAUCUGACACAAAAGAUGAGUACUAUUCAGUAAUUAAGUUCAAAUAUAAAACAGGAAUAUAUAGAUACAGGUUCAAGUUCCUACUCACUAGCAAUACUGGUAGAAUACAAUAAGCAGAGACAGAGACGAGAAAUUUAGGAAGUAAAGAAAAGGGGGGAUUACAUGCAUUACAAAGUGUAACUGAUGCAUUCUAGGCUCAAGACUUUCUCCAACUCUUCACACUAUGUUACUCAAGAAGGCUGUUAAGAUGUCUGAACAUCACAAACAAGCUCCACACCAAGAAUGCGUCACUUACAGCCUCUCAAUACACCCAAAAAAAAUAUCAAGCAGAAUCAAAACAAAACAAAACAUGAGAGUAAUCUAGGACUAAUAAGAAGCUAAUUAAUUAAGAUACCUAGAGAUAUUUAUAUAUCUCGGACCAUGACGCCUCAAUUCCCCAAACGCUCACACUGCCCGUUUGCCCCCUCAUGCUCCGCAGUAGCUAGAGAUAGCUCGCGGAGCAGAAGGAGAUCGCGGUGAGCUAGAGCUCGAAUGCAAGAUGCUCCCCAACUUCUCUCCUAUCUGUGAGGCUCAUUUCCCUUCAACAAAUCGUCGAAUGCUAGCCAGGAGGCGACAGCAGCAGCAGCAGCAGCACCAGUGAGCUCCAUUGGGGCAGGAAGAUGAGCAGCAGGAUGAGGCAUUUCCAUGAGACGAAAGGAGGUCUCGCUUUGCGAGUUCAGUGCAAGGGCUGUGAGAAGUAGAAGAAGAC